UACGGGGGGGGCAAGCGUUGUUCGGAAUUACUGGGCGUAAAGGGCUCGUAGGCGGCCAACUAAGUCGGACGUGAAAUCCCUCGGCUUAACCGGGGAACUGCGUCUGAUACUGGAUGGCUUGAGAUUGGGAGGAGGGAGUGCGGAAUUCCAGGUGUAGCGGUGAAAUGCGUAGAUAUCUGGAGGAACACCGGUGGCGAAGGCGGCAUCCUGGACCAACACUGACGCUGAGGAGCGAAAGCCAGGGGGAGCAAACGGG
rnacentral:rRNA from 1 species